GGGGUGGGCAGCGCGGCGGGCGCACGGCAGUGCUUGCGAUCUGCAGAGGUAACCCGAGAAGUCGGAAUGGCCACACGUGGUGUCGCCCGAGGGGAUUGGGAGACCCGCUUCUCUGAGCUGGGCCUAAGAGCUGAGCGGAGCACUAGGUCGCUGGCACAAAAACACCCCCGAGGAGCCUGGGCCUCUGGAAGGCAAGCUCAGGUCCCCACCCCGCAAGUCCCCAAAGCAGAAAGGAAUUACUGUGGCCCCCAAGCGCCCUCAGCGCUGGGGCUGAGUGCUGAUCCGUCCACAGCACCACUUCCCAAACUUGAGUGCGAACGGGCACGGCGUGGGGAGCCGGGGAGAGAAGCCGAGGCCCGGGUCCACCUUCCAGGGGCGCAGAUGUAAUUGCGCUGAGUUGGACCGUGGAGAUCUGGAUAGCUUCCCAGGGGAUUUCAGCUUGCAGCCAGAGUUGAGGACCUUUGAUCUAGAGUUAGAGAAGAGCAGAGGACGCUAGAGCCCAGAAUGCUGCUGCUGCUGCAGCUUCUCCUUGCCUUUAAAGCAGAAACACCCCUGCCUCAGAGCUGUCAACACCCCACCCUCCGAUGGGCUGCCUUUGAAAGGAUGGAACUCCCAAGUGACAGGAAACAAAUGCUCAAGUGUGGAAUGUGAGAGAAGGCGGGGAGGGAGCACUUCUGUCCUGGGCUCAUCCCAGAGAGAGUGCAGGGGCUGCCUGGACCUCCCUCAUACUUCUGGAUCAGGAAGCGGAGCAGGAAGCGGAGCAGGCCGGUGAUUUUCAAAGAGGAAACUUCAGCCAGAAAAAGGAGCAGAUGGCCCUGUAUCAGGCCUCCUGCAGGGUGAAUAUUUUGGAGGAGUCAGGGCUUUUCUGCGAUUUGUACCUGCCCUAUUAUGGUGGACCAUAGAAGACUUCACCAGACGUUGGUGUCAUGCUUUUAGACUUCCAGCCUCCAGAACCAGGAGCCAAAUAACCUUCUGCUAUUUAUAAGUUACCCAGUUUGUGAUGUUGUUUUUCUCUCUUGUUUGGAUUUUGAGACAGGGUCUCACUCUGUACUUCAGGCUGGCCUCAAACUGCUUGGGAUUACAGGCCUGGCUUGGCAUUCUUUUUAUAGCGGCAGAAAAUGGACAGAAGGAAAAUGAAGGUGGCUUUGUGACACAUCUGUAAGCCCAGCACAGAAUGAUUGUGAGUUUGAGGCCAGCCUGGGCAAGUUCAAGGCCAGCGUGGACUAAAUAGUGAGACUUUGUCUCAAAAAAGAAAAAAAUAAAUAAAAUGAAGGUGAGCAAAACUGAAGAUGUUUGCUGUAAAUGCUUAGUAAGUCUUAAUGCAUUAUUGAAGUUCAUAAAAUGAUAACUCCCUUCAGCUAUCUCAUGUGGCAAUUUUUAUUCCUUUUCAAAUAAGUUGUAUAUGUUUGAUCUUAUGGAGCUUUGUAACAUUCCUAUGAGGUAGACAGAAGUACAAGUGUUACCUUUCCAUUUUACAGAUGAGGAAAUCAAAGCACAGAGCUGUCACACAGCAGGGAGGUAUGGCUUUGCCUACAGUCACACAGAGCUGUAGCUGGUUCAGAAUUCACUGGCAGAGCCACUGUGAAUGGAAACUGGAAUAUGCAGGGUAUGGGUUAAUCAAGGCCUGACAUGGGGUUUGAAUCAGUUGCCAGGGUUUGUCCCUGAGCAAACAGUCUGUGCUGGUAGCAGUCCGGCAUGUCAAGGACCCAUUGUUGAUGUCCUGGCAGGUGGCAAGGGAAAGAACUGGUACAUAGGCAGGACAUUCUCACCCCAGGAACACCCUCUCAUGACUGAUUCCCUUUACAUCAACCAGCUGGAUACAAGACUUGGUUUUUCCUGUCCCAGAAAAAAAUGCCAAUCAAAACAACAAAAAAAAGAGAGGGAGGCGGGCUGACUUCUCUCAAGGGAACUUGGUCCUAGAGCCAGGAGUAUCUCUGCCAGGAUGAGAGGGG
rnacentral:lncRNA from 1 species